rnacentral:rRNA from 1 species
CAGUAGCGUAUAUUAAAGUUGUUGCAGUUAAAAAGCUCGUAGUUGGAUUUCUGGCCUGACGAAACUGACCCGCCGCGGUUACGUGUGUGAGUGUCGGGCUUCGUCUGCCAUCCUUCCAGAAAACGUUUCUACCCUUCACUGGGUUGGAUUCGCGAUCUGGAACUUUUACUUUGAAGAAAUUAGAGUGUUCAAAGCAGGCUUGCGCUGUGAAUACAUUAGCAUGGAAUAAUAAUUUAGGACUCAGGUCUUAUUUUGUUGGUUCUUAAGAUCUAAGUAAUGAUUGAUAGGGAUAGUUGGGGGUGCUAGUAUUCAGCGGCCAGAGGUGAAAUUCUUGGAUUCGCUGAAGACUAACUUAUGCGAAAGCAUUCACCAAGGAUGUCUUCUUUAAUCAAGAACGAAAGUUGGGGGAUCGAAGAUGAUUAGAUACCGU